UAAUGAAUGGCUAACAAAAGUUUGGAUUUUUUUUUGCGGGGUUUUAAUUACAUACAGGUCUCUAUAAAUAUAGUAAAUUAUAAAUAUAUUUCUAUAAAGUUCAACUUUCAUAUAUUGUUUCUAUAAAAAUCUCGAUAUUUUCAAAUAUGUUCCUGCCGUUAGAAUCCGUUAGAAAAAUUUAGUUAACCAUAGGUUAAAUACUUAACCGUAGUUAGUUAAUUAGAUAAAUUGACCUUUUUACUCCUCUUUAUUUAACAGUUGAGACUUUUGGAGGACAUAUUUGUGAUGAUAAAAAACUAUUUCACUUAUAAAAUAGACAGUAUUUUAACCGUAACCAAUCAAAGCGAUAUAUUUGAAAACAGUAGAAUUUUUGUAGGAACAAUAUAUAAAGUUGAUUUUUGUAGGGAUAUAUUUGUAAUUCACUAUAUUUGUAGGGACCUGUAAGAAAUUAA
rnacentral:lncRNA from 1 species